rnacentral:rRNA from 1 species
UGGGGAAUUUUGGACAAUGGGGGAAACCCUGAUCCAGCCAUCCCGCGUGUGCGAUGAAGGCCUUCGGGUUGUAAAGCACUUUUGGUAGGAAAGAAACGUCAUGGGUUAAUACCCCGUGAAACUGACGGUACCUGCAGAAUAAGCACCGGCUAACUACGUGCCAGCAGCCGCGGUAAUACGUAGGGUGCAAGCGUUAAUCGGAAUUACUGGGCGUAAAGCGUGCGCAGGCGGUUCGGAAAGAAAGAUGUGAAAUCCCAGAGCUCAACUUUGGAACUGCAUUUUUAACUACCGGGCUAGAGUGUGUCAGAGGGAGGUGGAAUUCCGCGUGUAGCAGUGAAAUGCGUAGAUAUGCGGAGGAACACCGAUGGCGAAGGCAGCCUCCUGGGAUAACACUGACGCUCAUGCACGAAAGCGUGGGGAGCAAACAGG